CCUACGGGUGGCAGCAGUGAGGAAUAUUGGUCAAUGGGCGCGAGACUGAACCAGCCAAGUAGCGUGAAGGAGGACUGCCCUACGGGUUGUAAACUUCUUUUAUCAAGGAAUAAAGUGAGGCACGUGUGCCUGUUUGUAUGUACUUUAUGAAUAAGGAUCGGCUAACUCCGUGCCAGCAGCCGCGGUAAUACGGAGGAUCCGAGCGUUAUCCGGAUUUAUUGGGUUUAAAGGGAGCGUAGGUGGGUUGCUAAGUCUGUUGUGAAAGUUUUCGGCUCAACCGUAAAAUUGCAUUUGAUACUGGCAGUCUUGAGUACAGAUGAGGUAGGCGGAACUCGUGGUGUAGCGGUGGAAUGCUUAGAUAUCACGAAGAACUCCGAUUGCGAAGGCAGCUUACUAGACUGCCACUGACAUUGAUGCUCGAAAGUGUGGGUAUCGAACAGGAUUAGAUACCCUAGUAGUC
rnacentral:rRNA from 1 species